rnacentral:rRNA from 1 species
CGGACGGGUGAGUAAUGUCUGGGAAACUGCCUGAUGGAGGGGGAUAACUACUGGAAACGGUAGCUAAUACCGCAUAACGUCGCAAGACCAAAGAGGGGGACCUUCGGGCCUCUUGCCAUCAGAUGUGCCCAGAUGGGAUUAGCUUGUUGGUGGGGUAACGGCUCGCCAAGGCGACGAUCCCUAGCUGGUCUGAGAGGAUGACCAGCCACACUGGAACUGAGACACGGUCCAG